AAUCAACGCUGGCGGCGUGCCUCAGACAUGCAAGUCGAACGCGAAAGUUCCCUUCGGGGGAUGAGUAGAGUGGCGCACGGGUGAGUAACACGUAGGUAAUCUACCUUUGGAUGGGGAAUAACAACCGGAAACGGUUGCUAAUACCGCAUAAUGCAGCGGCACCUAAUGGUGACAGUUGUUAAAGCGGGGGAUCGAAAGACCUCGCGUCUGAAGAGGAGCCUGCGGCGGAUUAGCAGUUGGUAAGGUAACGGCUUACCAAGGCGACGAUCCGUAGCCGCCUGAGAGGGCGGUCGGCCACACUGACACUGACAUACGGGUCAGACUCCUACGGGGAGGCAGCAGUCGGGAAUUUUGGGCAAUGGGCGAAAG
rnacentral:rRNA from 1 species